CGGCCGCGCAGCCUCCCCGGGGCGCGCUUUCGGGAGCAUCCCGGGCGCCACCAGCCCCGAGGGCCGAGCGCUGCUUCGCCUCCUGCCUAGAGGGCGUGAGGCCGGCCCGGGGCGGAGACCCUCGUUUCCUCCCGGGCCAGGGCACUGGCUCCCGGCGCUGCCUCUGCGCCCCACGGGCGUCAGCCCCCGCCACCGCCCACCGAGUAGGGUUUCGCUUCCAGCACUGAUCCCUGGGCAGAAGCUCCGUGGCUCCCCUUUCUUCCUGGUCUGAUACUAACUUGGCCCUGUGGCGCCCAGGCCUUUCCAGAGAGCCCAGAGAGGGGGUUCCGGUCUCAGAGCCUCCAGUAGAGUGAGGGACGUAGCCCAGUGACGGGAAGUCUCCCAAGCCGAGCUCCUCCAUUACAAACCCAAAGUGAGCAGAAGUUGGCCAAGUCUCCACCAACUCUCAAACCUGUAGGCCUCGGUUUUCAGCAUCUACACGUCCCUACGUACUUUCAUUUCUUGACUUUGGAGAGGCUUUCGCGGUUGCAGGGGCGGGUCGGAGGAGACCUUCCCUGGGCAGGCGCACACCACGCCCAAGGCUGGGUCAAGUGGAAAGUGGUGCCCUAAGAUCUUUCUCAUCCCAGACGGUGAUUCUGCAGGUGGCUUGAGCGAGGAGAAACCCCUCCAUCCCCCUCAGGCCCCACCCCUGGACAAAGCCCCUGUGCUGCCUGUCCUGCCACCUGCCAGUCCCCCUCCCAAGCCAUUUCUCAGUCCCGGUGACUUCUGCUCCCUGAUUUUCCUGUUCCUUCUUCACCAAAAUUCGCCUGUCCUGUGUUCCAUUAUCUCAUCGCCUUGCUCUCUGCUCACGUGAGAAGGAAUGAUAAAUUGGUGUUGGCAGAUUAACGUGUUGCUCCCUCUAGGUAACAGAUUUGCGUUUAACAAGGACACACUGACCGCACCUUCAUGCAGAAGAGCGACAAAUGGUGGUGGGAAAUGCACGCAUCGUGGCAGGCUGGCGAAGGAGCAGGUGCCACUUGUGCCCCGCCCACAUUCCAGGUACAUUCACCUCUACAUGCUAAAGGAUGGUAACGGAUUGGGUCUUGUCCAGGCUUAUCAGAGAAAGCAGACGCUCGGGGAGGUGAUGCUGAGGGGCUGCUGAAGACCCAGGAAAAAGAGGCACACAACUACUCUGUACAUGCUCUUUUGCACACAGCUCACACCUGCGUGCAUGGACCAGCCAAGAUCCUGGAUAACCGGAUGCCCCUCCCCCAGGAUGUCACGUCACCAGGAUCUCACACGGGGCCAGGCCAGAGGAGAAGCCCCAGCCCCACUCAACUGGAGCUGGUCCUGGAGCCUGAAUCCUGCCAGAAACCAAAAAAAAAAAAAAGAGGUCCCACCCACAAUAGGUCUACACCCACAGGAGUGGAUGAGCUUUAAGAAUGUGAUUUUCCGGGGUCCGUAAAGCCUCCAAGCCAUCACAGGGGGUGACGCUGAGUUCAGACCCAACUGAAGAGAAGGAGACACAGGCACGGACCUGGGGAGGAGAGAUCCAAGCAGCAGGACCAGCACGUGCGGGGCCUGGGCACGAGGCUGAAAGACGCUCAGUCCAUGGCCUCCGCGUGGCUGCAGGACCCAGCGCAUUGGUCAAACAUCGAUCUAGGCGUUGCUCUGGAGGGUCACGUCUACGAUCCGUUGUCUUUAAAUUAAGGAGAUUACCCUCGACAUGUUGAGCAGGCCCCAUCCGAUCAGCCGGAAGUUCUUAAGAGAAAAACCGGGAGUUCCUGGAGAGGAAAUUCUGCCUCGAGACUGAGGCAGAAAAUCCUACCUGAGUUUCCAGCCUGCAGGCCUGCCUGGCAAACUUCAGACUUGCCAUCCCCCA